GCGGCCCCCCGCGGGCUCAGCACUAACGCGCCGGCCCAGCAAAUCUUUUGUCGGGGGCGCUGAGCCAGCAGGCGCCGCCGCUAUUUAAACACUGGCCAAGCAGCGGCGGGUGCACCAUGGCACAGCGCUCUGGAAAGGAUCUCCUCAGGGCUCUUGGGGCUGCUUUUCUGCAAAAUACUGAGAUGUGAGGGACCUUCAAAUCCUGUGGGUGACCAGUUCUCCCUGAGUAACUCAGGGCACUCCAGCAGACCUGUCUUGUGCAGAAAGGGUGGCACACUUGAUCUCCCACCUUCUCUAGCCCCCUCUCCUAGCUACUCCCAUACAGCCGCCCUAUCUCCAGGGGCUGCGUUCAGAUCACCUUCUAUGAGGGCAAGCACUUCACAGGGCAGAAGCUGCAGGUCUUUGGAGACUGCGACAACUUCCAGGAGCAAGGCUUCAGGAACCGGGU